UUAUUCCUUAGAAGUAGUAGCUGACUUCAACGUCUUUGCUACGCAAAGAUGUGGUUUUUCCCUUGCCAUAUUUUCUGGUUUUUGAAAAAGAAAUAAUGGGAAGGGAAAUAGGAAUUAGACGAUCCGCACGGUAGUGCUUUGGGGUUGUUCUGUUUUGUGCUAUACCUUGUAAGCUUUUGUCCUACUCUCGCUCGAAAUUGAGAUGCACCGUUUCAUCUUGUUCUGAAGUUCCGUUUGUCGUUGAAAAGUGUCGAUCACACCAAGACAAUUACAGUGGCUAUACGAGUUGCUGAUGGGAGAAGAGAUUCUUCGAAAGGCCGUGUCAGUACCUGGUUGUAUUAGUCAGUUUGUUAUUCUGUUCUUAUAUAUGUUAAUUUUCCUUGGAGCAUUAUGCACCGUCUUAUGUCUUUCGUUUGUGAUAGCAGUGAACUAUCUUUCGUUUGUGAUAGUAUUGAACUAUCUUUGUCUGGUUUUGUUUUAUUUACAAGUGUUGUCGAACUUGUUUAUAUCGACUCUUUGAUGAAAUUAUCAGUUAUCUUUUUAAUGAUGUUUGCUAAUUUCAUUUUC